GCGGGAAUAGCUCAGUUGGUAGAGUACAACCUUGCCAAGGUUGGGGUCGCGAGUUCGAAUCUCGUUUCCCGCU
rnacentral:tRNA from 1 species